rnacentral:rRNA from 1 species
GCGGAAGGAUCAUUACCGAGUUUUCGAGCUCCGGCUCGACUCUCCCACCCUUUGUGAACGUACCUCUGUUGCUUUGGCGGCUCCGGCCGCCAAAGGACCUUCAAACUCCAGUCAGUAAACGCAGACGUCUGAUAAACAAGUUAAUAAACUAAAACUUUCAACAACGGAUCUCUUGGUUCUGGCAUCGAUGAAGAACGCAGCGAAAUGCGAUAAGUAAUGUGAAUUGCAGAAUUCAGUGAAUCAUCGAAUCUUUGAACGCACAUUGCGCCCCUUGGUAUUCCGGGGGGCAUGCCUGUUCGAGCGUCAUUACAACCCUCAAGCUCUGCUUGGAAUUGGGCACCGUCCUCACUGCGGACGCGCCUCAAAGACCUCGGCGGUGGCUGUUCAGCCCUCAAGCGUAGUAGAAUACACCUCGCUUUGGAGCGGUUGGCGUCGCCCGCCGGACGAACCUUCUGAACUUUUCUCAAGGUUGACCUCGGAUCAGGUACGGAUGCCCCG